UGGGGGAUAUUGCACAAUGGGGGAAACCCUGAUGCAGCAACGCCGCGUGAAGGAUGAAGGUUUUCGGAUUGUAAACUUCUGUUCUUAGUGACGAUAAUGACGGUAGCUAAGAAGAAAGCUCCGGCUAACUACGUGCCAGCAGCCGCAGUAAUACGUAGGGAGCGAGCGUUGUCCGGAUUUACUGGGUGUAAAGGGUGCGUAGGCGGCAGAGCAAGUCAGGCGUGAAAAGCCAUGGGCUUAACCCCAUGAACUGCGCUUGAAACUGUUCUGCUUGAGUGAAGUAGAGGCAGGCGGAAUUCCCGGUGUAGCGGUGAAAUGCGUAGAGAUCGGGAGGAACACCAGUGGCGAAGGCGGCCUGCUGGGCUUUAACUGACGCUGAGGCACGAAAGCAUGGGUAGCAAACAGGAUUAGAUACCC
rnacentral:rRNA from 1 species